rnacentral:rRNA from 1 species
AAUGAACGCUGGCGGCAUGCCUAACACAUGCAAGUCGAACGAGACCUCCGGGUCCAGUGGCGCAUGGGUGCGUAACGCGUGGGAAUCGGCCCUCGGGGUUGGAAUAACUCGCCGAAAGGCGUGCUAAUACCGGACGAUGACGUAAGCCCAAAGAUUUAUCGCCCAAGGAUGAGCCCGCGUUGGAUUAGCUAGUUGGUGAGGUAACGGCUCACCAAGGCGACGAUGCAUAGCUGGGUUGGGAGGAUGAUUAGCCACACGGGAACGGAGAAACGGCCCAGACGCCGACGGGAGGCAGCAGUAGGGAAUAGUCGGCAAGGGGCGAAAGCCUGACGGAGCAACACCGCGUGAGUGAUGAAGGUCUUCGGAGCGGAAAACUCUGUUAGUAGGGAAGAAAAGAUGCGGAAGAAACUGGGCACAUCUUGACGGUACCUAAACAGAAAGCCACGGCUAACUCCGUG